rnacentral:rRNA from 1 species
UACGAAGGGGGCUAGGCGUUGCUCGGAAUCACUGGGCGUAAAGCGCACGUAGGCGGAUUGCUAAGUCAGGGGUGAAAUCCUGGGAAGCUCAACUCCAGAACUGCCCUUUGAUACUGGCGAUCUCGAGUUCGGGAGAGGUGAGUGGAACUGCGAGUGUAGAGGUGAAAUUCGUAGAUAUUCGCAAGAACACCAGUGGCGAAGGCGGCUCACUGGCCCGAUACUGACGCUGACGGUGCGAAAGCGUGGGAGCGACAGGA